AGGGUGUAAACGCUGCGGGCUUGGUGUUGGGGGUCCUUUGAGGGCGCCCAGUGCCGGAGAGAAGUUGUUAAGCCUGCUGCUUGGGAGUACGUCCGCAAGGAUGAAACUUAAAGGAAUUGGCGGGGGAGCACCGCAACGGGAGGAGCGUGCGGUUCAAUUGGAUUCAACGCCGGACAACUCACCAGGAGCGACGGUUACAUGAAGGCCAGGCUGAUGACCUUGCCUGAUUUUCCGAGAGGUGGUGCAUGGCGUAGACGUCU
rnacentral:rRNA from 1 species